rnacentral:misc_RNA from 1 species
AAAUAGACCUUAUUUUUUACCCUUAUUUUUCUCUAAUUCAAGCAACCUGUUUUGACCAUUGACAAUUCUUCUAUAACCUUCGUCCAUCUCAUCAUUCCAGUAAACGCUCACACUCUUAUCAAAUCCGGCGGUGCAAAUCAUUGCUGCGAUGCGAUCUAGGUCAUAGACAAGCUCCACUAUUGUUUAAUCUUCGCCCUCUACAUUCGCCGGAAACAGACUAUUAGCGGAUAUUUAAGUGCUCUCCAAAAUUUAUGGCGUCUAGGCGCCAAGUUCAUUACUCUCCACUUCCUGUUGACGAAGAUGAUGAUGAUUAUGAUGGCAUUGGGGGGAGGCAUGACCCUCGGUUUGAGUAUAGUCCUGGAGCCUUUGAUAAAAUCCCUUGGAAAUCCAUAGCCCUUGCACUUUUUUUGCUCUUUCUUGGAUCUUUACUUCUCUUUCUUUCAUUCUUCAUCUUGACUGGCCACAUGGGUGGAGAGAAAUCCCAAGGCUAUGGUCUCCUGGCCCUUGGAAUCCUUGCCUUUCUUCCAGGGUUUUAUGAAACUCGGAUGGCAUAUUAUUCAUGGAGGGGUGCUAAAGGAUAUCGCUUUGCUUCUAUUCCAAGUUAUUAAGUGCGCCUUUAAGGAUUGCUCAUAGACCGCCUUGGCUAAUGCUAUCUAUGUACGUAAUUAUUUAAGUAGAAUUAGGAUUAU